AUACAAGGUAUACAACUAUUAAUACUGAAGAUAUAAAAGUGAGAAUGAAUUUCAAGUGUUGUGCUAUUGUGCAUGGGUAACCAGCAAAAUAAAUAAAUAAAUAAAUCUGAAAUAAGAUAAAGUAUGGUAGACUACACCACUCCUGCGCUGAUUAGGGUGAAGUUUGCGCUGGAAAAAGUUUAUGUUACGUCGGCUAUAUGCCGUGAGAUAUGCCUUUUGUAUUUGGGGAUUAUUUUAUUUAUUUAUUUUUAUGUUUCUCAAUUUAAAGGAGUGAAACAAAUGAAAGAUUAAAUCUGUAGAUGAACGAAUGAUGGAAAAAAAAUCUUGCCAGUAUAGAGAGAUUAAAUAAUUCUUAAAAGCGGUAAAGAGAUUGAGAAGAAACUUAUAUAUAAGGUUACCCACUAAUUGAUAAACUUUGAAAGACGAGGAUGGGUUUGGAGCAACAUAAGUGAUAUGCAACAAAGACUAAAGCCAAGCAAAGAUGUAUUCUUUACAUGAUGCAAGUAAGUGAUUCUGAUUUAAGAAAUCCAAGUUGAAAGUACCUUAAUGGGUUGGGUUCUAACUAAAACUAGAUUCAACUCCUUAUAAGUGUAAACAGGUAAGUAACGGAGCUAUGCAAAUAAUUUUUUUUUGGGGAUGCUCUAAUGCAAAAGGUAAUACGGUUUCGGGGAUGAAACCUUACUAAGGGGGGUGGAUUUAUAACAUCCCAAUAUUCCUAUGGAGUUUAAAAAUAUAUCUUUAUAUAUAAGUGAAAGACUUAUAAAUAAAGAGCUUAAUAUGGUAAAAUCGUAUCGAAUGAAGUUUAUAAAUAAUUUUAAUGAGGGUUGGAGUAUUGGAGAAAAGUACUUGAUAAAUUAUUUAUCCAAUAUUUAACUCUAGACCAAAUAACCAAGAGUUUAUUAGAUGACUUGUAAGUAGAGGCUAUAUGCAGCUAUUCUUAUAAACUAUGAGGUGAUAAUCAAAAUUGUGCAAGAGUGACUAUAAUCUGACUAAAGGGGGAUAUUUUUGAAACUUGUAAAACAUCAAAAUAAAAAGGAGGUGGGGCUGCAUAACCAAGAGGAGGUCUGGGAUUGUGUCGUUCUCUCGUGAUCGGCGUUGAUUGGGACGAAAUUGAGAAGAUGAAAAACCUGGUUCUAUCAUCAUUCUAUGAUUCCUAAUCCUUUUGGGACUUAAUAAAGAUAUAUGGUGCAAAUCAAGACUGCAAGGUAUUGUUUGGCCAAGGUGAGUGAACACUCUAUAACCCUGAUAUAUAUGCUCUGUAUAUUUUAUAAUAAAGUCUGAUUAUGAUUUGAAAGUUAUGUGAAUCUUAAUGUCUAGCUAAUGUAAUGAAAUAAGUGUUGUUGUGAUUAAGUUGGUGAAGAUGCAAUCAGUUUGGUUGAAUAUUAGUUGAUUAUCUACAGUGCAUGUUUAUGGUUCGAGGGUUGUUUCAAGUACUAAACAGUUUUGUUUUUAUACAAAGUUAAGUUUCAAUAUUCCUGACACAUUUUUCUAAGUGCUACAAAAGGUUUUAAGUUAAACGGGCUUAGUUAAAAGGUCAUAAUAAGUUCGUAAAACCGAUUUACAGGUUCUGUCUAAUCCAGAUCAGCCUACUUGCAGAGGUCGUUUCAGGCCUUGACCAUUUUAUUUUGGCAUGAUUUUUGGUCAGAGGUUAGCUGACAUCAUAAGUGAUUCUAUGUAAUUUUUGUAAAUUUUUCUAAAAUUGUUUGAGGCGGGUUUGUGGUGUUUUAUCAAGAAAAUAUGACAACAAUGUGUUUAAUAAUGUUGUAAUGGAUCAAAGGAGUAUUCAUGACUAACCAAAUGAUAACGGGUUAAAAGGAUGGAUAAUUAACCUUAUAGUUUUAGUUAGUGAGUUAUGCUGAGUAUUAUGAUCCUUAAAUUAUAACAAGAUGUAAUAAACAUAAGUUGGGAUUGACUGAAAUGUACAACAAGGUGAAUAUUAGACUUUUAACCUACUGACACUUUAUGAACGAAUUGUGUGAUUCUAAGGUGUUUGGGUUAUGCCCAAAAGAAUGGUUACAUGUUGCCACUAAUCUUCACGAUGACGAGGGUCGAGGUUGGACGUGUUAACAGGUCGCACAUGGUUGAACCACUAGUCAGCAUUUUAUUGAUGCGUUUAAGCAGGUUUCUUGAAUCUAUACUUAUCGGUUUAUGCUAAUAUGAAGACAUAUGUAUUUUCAGGCGUGAAACUAGAAUCUGUAACUUACGCAAAUUCCAACUUAGCCUUCUGUGGAGGCCAGGGUUUUUUUUACGCCCUCGUUUAUCUGUGCUAUUUUGAUUUCAGGUGUUUUGAGUUGGAAAAUCCGUGGCUCGGAGCGCAUUUAUAAUGCCUUUUGGGCUUUAAAACUUCUCCUUGUCUGUUAUAAUUACAUUUGUUAACGAGUCAUCACUUAGCUAUGGCUAAUCUUUUGUGGUGAACCCGUGUAGGUCCAGCUGAUGUGAUUGAUGACUGAAGAGAGCAAGUCAUGUGGACUAACGAGGCCACCCUAGGUCUUUAUGAUAUCGAAUGGAAGAGUGAUUACUCUAGAUUCCGAGGAUUCCGGAUUAUGUGAUUGAAAGCCGAUGUGAUCAAGUCCAGGGAGUGGGUCACUGACGUUUAAGAUCGCAUGGUUUAAUGUGUAUCAUUGUUAAAUUUCUCUUCGGUUCAUAUUUUUAAAGGUUGUGAAUUAGAGUUUAACUGAGUAAAUUGUUAGCUAAAAGGUCUUGUGUCAAUGGUGCAUUGAGUCAUGUGUAUUUUGUUGAGUGUCUUGAUUGCUAAACAGGUUCAUUACCAUAACGAGUACCUUUAUUUC